UACGUAGGGUGCGAGCGUUAAUCGGAAUUACUGGGCGUAAAGCGUGCGCAGGCGGUUCGCCAAGUCAGGUGUGAAAUCCCCGGGCUUAACCUGGGAAUUGCGCUUGAAACUAGCGGGCUUGAGUGUGGCAGAGGGGGGUGGAAUUCCACGUGUAGCAGUGAAAUGCGUAGAUAUCGGAAGGAACAUCAGUGGCGAAAGCGACUUCCUGGACCAAUACUGACGCUCAUGUGCGAAAGCGUGGGGAGCAAACAGG
rnacentral:rRNA from 1 species